rnacentral:rRNA from 1 species
AUAGAACCUGAAACCCUGCACUUACAAGCUGUGGAAGCACAUUUCUUGUGGACGGUACUUUUUGUAGAACGGGCCAACGAGUUACGUUAAGUAGCAAGGUUAAGCACUUAAGGUGUGGAGCCGUAGCGAAAGCGAGUUUUAACUGAGCGUUCAGUUACUUGACGUAGACCCGAAACCGGGCGACCUACCCAUGGGCAGGAUGAAGCGAAAGUAAAAUUUCGUGGAGGUCCGAACCCACGAGCGUUGAAAAGCUCGGGGAUGACUUGUGGGUAGCGGUGAAAUUCCAAUCGAGCCCGGAGAUAGCUGGUUCUCCCCGAAAUAGCUUUAGGGCUAGCCUCAAGGUGAG